UGAAUACGAGACGCUAAGGCGUCGAAGUAGUGUAUGUCAUACUUCCAAGAAAAGCUUGCACUGUCAUAGAUAAAAAACGCCUGUACCAUAACCGACACAGGUGGGUAGGUAGGGUAUACUAAGGGGCGCGAGAUAACUCUCUCUAAGGAACUCGGCAAAAUAACUCCGUAACUUCGGGAGAAGGAGUGCCUUAUUCGUAAGGUUGCAAUAACAAGAUCCAAGCAACUGUUUAUCAAAAACACAGGUCUCCGCUAAGUCGUAAGACGAUGUAUGGGGGCUGACGCCUGCCCAGUGCCAGAAGGUUAAAGAAGUUGGUUAGCAAUUGCGAAGCUGAUAACUGAAGCCCUGGUGAACGGCGGCCGUAACUAUAACGGUCCUAAGGUAGCGAAAUUCCUUGUCGGGUAAGUUCCGACCCGCACGAAAGGCGUAAUGAUUUGGAUACUGUCUCGGAGAGGGGCUCGGUGAAAUAGACUUGUCUGUGAAGAUGCGGACUACCUGCACCAGGACAGAAAGACCCUAUGAAGCUUUACUGUAACUUGAAAUUGAAAUUGGACUUUAUUCGCGCAGUAUAGGUGGGAGGCGUUGAUUAUAAUCUUGUGGGAUUAUUGGAGCCAUCAGUGAGAUACCACUCUUGUAGUGUUAGAUUUCUAACUUUGAAUCAUUAUCUGGUCAAAGAACAGUUUCAGGCGGGCAGUUUGACUGGGGCGGUCGCCUCCUAAACGGUAACGGAGGCGUACAAAGGUUUCCUCUGAACGGUUAGAAAUCGUAUCUAGAGUGUAAAGGCAUAAGGAAGCUUGACUGUGAGACCUACAAGUCGAGCAGGGACAAAAGUCGGUCUUAGUGAUCUGACGGUACUGAGUGGAAAGGCCGUCACUCAACGGAUAAAAGUUACUCUAAGGAUAACAGGCUGAUCUCCCCCAAGAGUUCACAUCGACGGGGAGGUUUGGCACCUCGAUGUCGGCUCAUCGCAUCCUGGGGCGGUAGUACGUCCCAAGGGUUGGGCUGUUCGCCCAUGAAAGCGGUACGCGAGCUGGGUUCAGAACGUCGUGAGACAGUUCGGCCCAUAUCCGGUGUAGGCGUUAGAAUAUUGAGAGGAGCCUUCUUUAGUACGAGAGGACCGAGAAGGACAUACCUCUGGUGUACCAGUUAUCGUGCCAACGGUAAACGCUGGGUAGCUAUGUAUGGAGUGGAUAACCGCUGAAAGCAUCUAAGUGGGAAGCCCACCUCAAGAUAAGUAUUCUCAGC
rnacentral:rRNA from 1 species